GGGGGCCGACGAGGUAGUCGCGGGGCGGGUUUUCGUCCCCGAGGAAAGUCCGAGCUCCAAUGGGUAGACUGCCAGGUAACGCCUGGGCGCCGAAAGGCGACGGAUCGGGCCACAGAAAACGAACCGCCCCUUGGGUUUAGGCCCACGGGGUAAGGGUGAAAAGGUGGGGUAAGAGCCCACCGCGUUGCUGGUAACAGCAACGGCACGGUAACCCCCAGUCGGAGCAAGGCCAAAUAAGCGGCGAGGUGCGACCCACACCGACCACGUCCUUCGGGACGAGCCGCGGGUAGGCUGCUGGAGGCGCCUGGUAACGGUCGCCCUAGAGAGAUGACUAUCCGGAUGCCUUCGGGCGUCCGAACAGAACUCGGCUUACGGUCGACCCCCAACA
rnacentral:RNase_P_RNA from 1 species